AGCUCGUAUAAUCUUACUAUUUCUAGGCUUAUCCAUCUCACUUAUUGAUACAUAUGAAUAGCAUUACUAGGAAUGCUCAUGUCCAUGAGCAAAUGAGUGAAUGUCAUAAUGUGGACCAAACGAGCUAGCUCAAUGGGCGGCAGCAAACCUUGCACCGCAGAUGAACGCCUCAAGACGCGCGCAAUGGCGCGCCCCAACCCCUAGUUGGCAAGCAAGAACCGGCCCGUGUGCACGGGCAACGCGAGGACACCAACGCCGCCUCCCCUACUGCGGCGCCGAGCUGUGGGGCAGCGCAGGGCGGCUCAGGUGUCUCGUCGCCACCGCCUCACUCUCCUCCGCCCGUUGAUGAGCAGGCCGGGGGCGGAACCCGCAAAGCUGGGAAAUCGAGCUCCGUGGCGAGGGAGGGCGGCUCCGGAGUCUCCUCGCCAUCACGCCCCCCUGCUCCGCCCGUCGAUGGGCAGGCCGAGGGCCGAAUCUUCGAAGCCGGAGGAUCGAGUUCCGCUGCUGCGCACGCCAGGAGCAGGCUGGAUUGCCGAAGGCCAAGAAGACGUUCUUGAGCAAGAUAAUCAGCUUCAGCAAGAACAAGGAGCAAGUUCUUGAUAGGCAAGACACAAAUGAGGAAGAAUGCCUCCUUGCAGCUAUUGAAGAGGUGGCUGACGAGGAACAUGCACGUUUCUCUGAAUUUUCUAGUAGCCACAAAGCAUUUAAGGAGUUGAUAAAGAAAGUAAAGAGCUGGAAGAAAAAAUGCAGAUUGAUCCCCGUAUUAACUGAGAGAUACCUUAAGCGGAAACUUCUCAAGUUCUUCAGCACUUACGAUCGAACAGAAGAUAGCGAGAAAACACUUCUCAACUUAUCCUUCAAAGUCAUCAACCUAUCUUUCCUUCAGUUCAUCCCAAUUAAUGUUUCUGACACAUUUUUGGUGGUUAGUUCUUGUUUUCCUCAGGUUAGUAGCAGCUAUCUGGUUAUGCUCGCACAUGGCGGACUAUGAAGAGGUUAUACCUGGACUUGGAGAAAAUGACAGUGUGACAGAUGGCAUAUUUCCUUCAUGGGCGUGUGGCCGAGGCGGACGCGAGGCAGACAGUUUGGGGUUAGCAGCCGCGUUGGGUGCCUCGAGCAAGAGCCGGACAUGUGUGUCCAUUUUAGUCCCCAUUGCCACCUCAAAGGGACAAAAAACGGUUGAAGCGGACGUCCGUUUGGGGUCUUGCGGUGGAGUUGGCCUUAGGUCGCUGAUUAACCAUUCGGCGGCCAUCUUUUGAUCAAGUCUGGUUUGGAGAUGAGCUCACAUUACUGUUCUAGGCUGUUUUACAGUUAUUAGGGGGCUGUUCGGCAGUCCACCAGCUCCCUGGAUUUUAGGAAUCUGGGGAGUGCCGAUUCACUCACUCCGCAGUUUUGAACUAAAACUCCGUUAGCUCCGGGAGCAGCUGAGGGACUCCAAACAGUCCCUAGGUAUGUCCUAGUCUGAUUCUUGUAUGAUUAGGUGAGACUGGUUCUUUGCAAAUGCAUGGUACGUACUGUAGCGGAGCUCUGAUGUACGACAUGGCUUUUGACCAUGACUUGAAGAUAUACCUGCAAAAAAAGACUCGAAGACGGCAAGUUCACACAGAAGACCUCUUAUAGGUGUACGUAUAUUGUCAAAAAGAGCCUCCUCCCUUCCUCGUGCCGCCGCGCCUGUGAAGGCCGCGGCGAGGCCUUUCUCUCGACGCGAUAGCCUCCUCUCGCCGACCAAGCCUCCCACGUGAUUCAGCCACCGCCGGCGGCUGCUGAUCGCGCCGGCGCGGAUCCAGUUGUCCCGCCCUUCCCCUCCUCACCUCCCUUCCCUUCGGUCAGCCGGCUGCUGCCCGUCCCGCCCCUCCCCUCCUCAACUCACCUUCUGUAGACUAUCCUACCCCCUCCCCAACCCUAUGUAAAUAUCUAAUGUAACUCUUCUAGACUACUAUUUUGUGUCUGUGACUUUCUCUUAUUAAUUAAAGGUCAAUGGGGGCUUCCCCUACUGUCCAGAGGUUUAAGAAAAAUGGCAAUUUGACUUUGGAACAAGACUUUCAAAGUCAAUUUCGAAUACUACUCCACUCCUGUUUUUCCGGUGCAUCUCGCGAAGGAUCUCAUGAAGGAUCAAUACUGUGACGCUUGGAUAAUUAAGCUACAGUAACCCUCGACUAAUGUUGCCACCUCACCACGAUUACUGUUGAUAAUCUCGCGUUGAUUCAAAACUCGUUCAAAUUCAAAUUUAAAUAAAGUCAAACUAGAAGUUUUCAAACAUUUAAAACUAAAAUGUUCUAAACAAGUCAACUAAAUCAUAAGUAAUUAUGGUGGAGAAUUCACAUCUUUAUAAUAUAAUUAAAGGUUAUAUAAUAAAUAAAACAGUAGUUAAAACCACCAAAUAAGGGCCUUUCAAUUUUUAUAA